rnacentral:rRNA from 1 species
UUACCAGUUUGACAUGACCGAAAGCGCAAAACAGGUGCUGCAUGGCUGUCGUCAGCUCGUGUCGUGAGAUGUUCGGUUAAGUCCGGCAACGAGCGCAACCCCGCCCCAGUUACCAGCGUACGGGACUCUGGGGGACUAACCCGUUAGGGUGGGAAGGUGGGGAUGACGUCAAGUCAGUAUGGCCCUUACACUGGGCUGCACACGUGCUACAAUGCGGUACAAAGGCCACCGCGAGGGGAGGAAUCCCUAACCGGCCCAGUUCAGAUUGGAGUCUGCAACUCGACUCCAUGAAGCCGGAAUCGCUAGUAAUGGUAAUCAGCACGUACCGUGAAUACGUUCCCGGGCCUUGUACACACCGCCCGUCACAUCAUGAAAGCCGCUCGCCGAA